rnacentral:rRNA from 1 species
GUAACACGUAGUCAACAUGCCCAGGGGACGUGGAUAACCUCGGGAAACUGAGGAUAAACCGCGAUAGGUCACUACUUCUGGAAUGGGUAAUGACUCAAACCUAUAUGGCCCCUGGAUUGGACUGCGGCCGAUCAGGCUGUUGGUGAGGUAAUGGCCCACCAAACCUGUAACCGGUACGGGCUCUGAGAGGAGGAGCCCGGAGAUGGGCACUGAGACAAGGGCCCAGGCCCUAUGGGGCGCAGCAGGCGCGAAACCUCUGCAAUAGGCGAAAGCCUGACAGGGUUACUCUGAGUGAUCUCCGUUAAGGAGAUCUUUUGGCACCUCUAAAAAUGAUGCAGAAUAAGGGGUGGGCAAGUCUGGUGUCAGCCGCCGCGGUAAUACCAGCACCCCGAGUGGUCGGGACGUUUAUUGGGCCUAAAGCAUCCGUAGCCGGUUCUACAAGUCUUCCGUUAAAUCCAGCUGCUUAACAGAUGGGCUGCGGAAGAUACUAUGGAGCU